rnacentral:rRNA from 1 species
AAUGAACGUUGGCGGCGUGGAUCAGGCAUGCAAGUCGAACGAAUGCCGUGGGGGCAACUCUGCGGCGGAAGUGGCGAAAGGGGCAGUAAGGCGUGGAUAACCUACCCUGGACUUCAGGAUAGCCUCUCUAACGAGUGGGUAAUACUGGAUGCCGUAGCGAGGGAGCAUUCUCUUGCUACGAAAGUUCCGACGGUCCGGGAGGGGUUCACGUGGUAUUAGCUUGUUGGUGAGGUAACGGCUCACCAAGGCCAAGAUGCCUAGCAGGUGUGAGGGCACGACCUGCGCCACUGGCACUGGGACACUGGCCAGACUCCUACGGGAGGCUGCAGUCGAGGAUCUUCGGCAAUGGGCGAAAGCCUGACCGAGCGACGCCGCGUGUGCGAUGAAGGCCUUCGGGUUGUAAAGCACUGUCGUGGAGGAGAAAGGCCGCAAGGCUUGAUCGACUCCAGGAGGAAGCUCGGGCUAAGUUCGUGCCAGCAGCCGCAGUAAAAC